GGGGCUGACUGGAUUUGACGGCGGUUCGAAGUGAUUUGUAAGCACGCAGUGCGGAUGGAAGCAGGGCACUUAAAUCUCGGCUUUCGACAAUUUAUCUGGCGAAAAUCAAUUCGCUCUCGCUGCUUAAUCGAAGUACAGUAGAUUGGCUUUAUCCCUUUGCCAGGCAUUGGGACGAGACAUCACCCAAGAGCACUUGCUCCUUUGCGUCUUGAACCGGUGGUGUAGCAAAUAGGAGAUUGGUGGGCAAUGCCUCGAUUGUCGACUGAAAUUUUAGAGGAUAAGGCACAGAUUAAGGCUGCUUCUGCCCCGGUCUAUGCUCGAAAACCCAAUAGGAAGCUAAGCGUGUAGAAAGCAAGUUGGUUCUCCGUUCGGACGAGGGUUCAAUCCCCUCCAGCUCCACC
rnacentral:tmRNA from 1 species